ACUUGUAUAGCUUAUGUUAGAGCGUGACAUUGAAGAUGUUAAUGAGGUAUAAUUGCCUUCAAGUG
rnacentral:tRNA from 1 species